ACCCAAUCCAAUCCACCGUAACCCAGCUCCGUCGUUGCUUCCUCGUUCGAUUUCUUCUCCGCCUCGCGCACCGACGCCGACGCCCUGCCUCUCCCCUCGCUCGUCCACGGUGGUCGGAGCCUCUAGGUGCGCAGAGGAGUGGACAAAGCUGAGAUAUAUAGCAUUGCACUAUCACCAAACCUGCAGUGGUUGGCAGUGUCUAGUGACAAAGGCACAAUGCAUAUUUUCAGUUUGAGAGCGAGGCCUAGAGGGAAAGAUGCAAGUAAUGGGAAAUCUGCAAUUGCUGGUCGACAAAUGGAUCGUAGUUACUCAUCUGGUUCUGUUGGGUCCAAUGUGAGCUCAUCAUUAUCUUUCAUGAAAGGGAUUCUCCCCAAAUAUUUCAGUUCGGAAUGGUCAUUUGCUCAGUUCCGUUUACCCGAAGUCACACGCUAUAUUACAGCAUUUGGAGAUCAAACCACUGUGAUGAUGAUCGGUCUGGAUGGCAGGUACUCUGUUUUUUCACAAAAAUUGUUCAACGAAGUACAAGAAAACUAGCAUUUUCACGAACACUGGUAACCAAAUGAGAUUCGUUCCAUGCCUCUUUUUCUAUUAGUGGCAUUGCUUAUUUCUAAAAAGACAUGAUUACAAGGAAAAAAGAAGCUAAGAGCUAUAUAGUUUCUACCAAUUUGAUGCCACCUUGAUGUUUUCUUCUAAUACAAAAUGAUGCCCGUGAAGUCGUUCUACUUGGACAUUCAUGAUCAUAAAUUGACAUAGCACCGUGUAGUUUAGAUUUUUUCGAAAAGGAGGACAGCCCCCUUUUUGGGAAAAAAUCUAACUGCACACUGCAUCUCAUUUAGGUUAGCUGGUGGGUAAAUAAUUUCCGCAACGGCAUAAGUGGUCACGAUAGAUGGGCCUUGAUGACUUAUUCUUCGUUAGCUAAUGCAUUAUCUUGUACUUGCAUAUGCUGGGAUUUGAUUUUCACUAAUUGCAUCGGUCUUUUUUUGUGUGUGGCAUGUUUAGUUUCUAUAGGUGCAACUUUGACCCUGUAAAUGGCGGGAAGAUGGUGCUGGAUGAAUUCAUCCGGUUUAUGAAACCCAGCAUGUCCCGUUCCAGGACUCCGAACACCUGAGCAGCUGAGUUUCAUGGCCAUGGCGGUCAUGUCAUUCUCUAAGUACAUGUACAUAUAAGAUUUCACCAAGUCCACCAUGUAUAUAGUCGCGGGUUAAGGAGAAGUGGGUAUUCAGUGCCAUCUUUUUCCUUCAAGGUUAGUCCCAUGUGUGUUUUUGUUGACAAAUCUUUGGCGUCGCAUUGCCGAUGAUGAUCAAAUCCUUUUGGUUUGGGGAAACCAUAGUCCAUUUCGUGCUACACAUCAGCCGAGCAGCAUUGCAACUUUGUCACGUUCUUCAAGAUGAUGGUCAGACUGUUGAUUUGCCUCAGAUUUGUUGUAAUCGGUUAUCUUCUGAACCUCAGCAUUGGUUUCUCUUGUGCUGAUAUCCAAAGCAUCAGUUCUAGUUGUUUUCACGACAUUUGCUGAGAUUUUAAUGCAAAAGCCUGAUUUUUAGUUGACA
rnacentral:rRNA from 1 species